rfam:Clostridium thermocellum ATCC 27405, complete genome.
UAUGAAACAGGGCAAAAUCAUCGAAAGGUGAUGACGCAAAGCCAUGGGUCUACUGUUUUAAAACAAUGUUUUAAAGCUAUGAUCGCCAGGCUGCCAUU